CUACAAUUAUAAAUACAGUGCUUUCUUGAGUUUUAUGAGUCAUUUAACAACUUAAUGAAUCUGAGAGGAAGUGGGAAUGCGUGGAUUUGUAGCCAGUUCGUCAGAAGCGAGGAUGGCCUGGGGACUCCUAACUUUGUGGCUGGUGUCUGAAGUGAAGGCUGUUUUAAAGAGGACUGUGCCCUUCACCUGUGAAGUCCGGCCUAACUACAGCAUAAAGAAUUCUUGCAAACAACAAAGGAGACUCAGCUGAAACUUUUGGCCUCAUAUCAGAGAGUUCAUGUGUGUCUUUAGACAAACAGAUAAACAAAUGGAAUCUGGGAGAGGAAGCAUUAAUUUGACUUCUGAUAUAAGUCUUUUGAGGUACAGCCUGGCACAAAAAGGAUGAGAUUUGUGGUCAGAAUUUUGGAAGAAUAUCUCCCAAGAGAACAUUCA